GGGUUAAGGUCUGCGUACACAUUACUCUCCCCAAACUCAAUUAGUGGGAUUUUACUGCUUGUUGUUGCUGUUGUUGCCUAUCUGCUGUUCCGGUUACCAAAUCUCAUACUAAACAUUUUGCAUUGUUGCUUCAGACGUGUUUCAUUCAAUGGUGGAUGGAAUAGCGUGUUAUUGGUCUUUCUCACUCGAGACUACGGAUUCUCAUUCCAUUUCUUGCUUUAUGUCUCACCCUUUCUCCCCUUUAAAUAUUCAUCUGAUUUGUUCAUUAGCUUUUAAGUUUAUUUAUUGCAGCCAUAAAAUUUUGCUUCAUCUUUAAAUGGUAUAUAUUUUACUCCAAAAACUGCAGUUAAAAAGGAGGAAGCUGCUUUGGGUGCUUUACCUCAUGCGAGAUCCUUUUUUCUCGGAAUACACCAGGCGAAGACUUGAAAGCACUCAAAAAAUUGUAGAACCUGUUCCUGUAGUUGGAUUUUUCGCAGAAAAACUUAUUGAACUACUUAUUGGAGCCCAGACUAGAUAUACCUACAUGUCUGGUUCUUGAAGGGAAGCCACUGAAUGUUUUAUGCAUUCUUUUUUACUCCUAUUUGGCAAUGGAGAUAAACUUUUUCUCUUUUUUUCAGUUGUAGCAUUUUGAAAUUAUAAUCAAGAAAAGAUGUAGCAUUUUGAAAUUAGAACUAAGAAUAGGUGUAUAAUUUUGUUGCUGUCCAAAAGUGUAUGGAGGUUUGAUGCUGCAUCAGAUGGAGCAGUAAUCAAACACUAUUGCUGGCUGUUUAUUUUAUAAAUCAUGAUUCAUGGUUAAUAUUCUCA